CAGCAGCCGCGGUAAUACGUAGGUGGCAAGCGUUGUCCGGAAUUAUUGGGCGUAAAGGGCUCGCAGGCGGUUUCUUAAGUCUGAUGUGAAAGCCCCCGGCUCAACCGGGGAGGGUCAUUGGAAACUGGGAAACUUGAGUGCAGAAGAGGAGGGUGGAAUUCCACGUGUAGCGGUGAAAUGCGUAGAGAUGUGGAGGAACACCAGUGGCGAAGGCGACUCUCUGGUCUGUAACUGACGCUGAGGAGCGAAAGCGUGGGGAGCGAACAGGAUUAGAUACCCCAGUAGUCCCUGUCUCUUAUAC
rnacentral:rRNA from 1 species